GAGAUAGCUGGUUCUCUCCGAAAUAGCUUUAGGGCUAGCCUCAAGUGAUGAUUAUUGGAGGUAGAGCACUGUUUGGACGAGGGGCCCCUCUCGGGUUACCGAAUUCAGACAAACUCCGAAUGCCAAUUAAUUUAACUUGGGAGUCAGAACAUGGGUGAUAAGGUCCGUGUUCGAAAGGGAAACAGCCCAGACCACCAGCUAAGGUCCCAAAAUAUAUGUUAAGUGGAAAAGGAUGUGGCGUUGCCCAGACAACUAGGAUGUUGGCUUAGAAGCAGCCAUCAUUUAAAGAGUGCGUAAUAGCUCACUAGUCGAGUGACACUGCGCCGAAAAUGUACCGGGGCUAAACAUAUUACCGAAGCUGUGGAUUGUCCUUUGGACAAUGGUAGGAGAGCGUUCUAAGGGCGUUGAAGCAUGAUCGUAAGGACAUGUGGAGCGCUUAGAAGUGAGAAUGCCGGUGUGAGUAGCGAAAGACGGGUGAGAAUCCCGUCCACCGAUUGACUAAGGUUUCCAGAGGAAGGCUCGUCCGCUCUGGGUUAGUCGGGUCCUAAGCUGAGGCCGACAGGCGUAGGCGAUGGAUAACAGGUUGAUAUUCCUGUACCACCUAUAAUCGUUUUAAUCGAUGGGGGGACGCAGUAGGAUAGGCGAAGCGUGCGAUUGGAUUGCACGUCUAAGCAGUAAGGCUGAGUAUUAGGCAAAUCCGGUA
rnacentral:rRNA from 1 species